GAUGAACGCUGGCGGCGUGCCUAAUACAUGCAAGUCGAGCGAACAGACGAGGAGCUUGCUCCUCUGACGUUAGCGGCGGACGGGUGAGUAACACGUGGAUAACCUACCUAUAAGACUGGGAUAACUUCGGGAAACCGGAGCUAAUACCGGAUAAUAUAUUGAACCGCAUGGUUCAAUAGUGAAAGACGGUUUUGCUGUCACUUAUAGAUGGAUCCGCGCCGCAUUAGCUAGUUGGUAAGGUAACGGCUUACCAAGGCAACGAUGCGUAGCCGACCUGAGAGCGUGAUCGGCCAGACUGGAACUGAGACACGGUCCAGACUCCUACGGGGGGCAGCGGUACGGAAUCUUCCGCGAUGGAGGAAAGCCGGACGGUGCAACGCCGCGUGAGUGAUGAAGGUCUUCGGAUCGGAAAACUCUGUUAUUAGGAAAGAACAAAUGUUUAAGUAACUAUGCACGUCUUGACGGUACCUAAACAGAAAGCCACGGCUAACUACGUG
rnacentral:rRNA from 1 species